rnacentral:rRNA from 1 species
UGGUAAUGCCGGAUGCUCCAUCACACUGCAUGGUGUGUUGGGAAAGCCUUUGCGGCAUGGGAUGGGGUCGCGUCCUAUCAGCUUGAUGGCGGGGUAACGGCCCACCAUGGCUUCGACGGGUAGCCGGCCUGAGAGGGCGACCGGCCACAUUGGGACUGAGAUACGGCCCAGACUCCUACGGGAGGCAGCAGUGGGGAAUAUUGCACAAUGGGCGCAAGCCUGAUGCAGCGACGCCGCGUGAGGGAUGGAGGCCUUCGGGUUGUAAACCUCUUUUGUUAGGGAGCAAGGCAUUUUGUGUUGAGUGUACCUUUCGAAUAAGCACCGGCUAACUACGUGCCAGCAGCCGCGGUAAUACGUAGGGUGCAAGCGUUAUCCGGAAUUAUUGGGCGUAAAGGGCUCGUAGGCGGUUCGUCGCGUCCGGUGUGAAAGUCCAUCGCUUAACGGUGGAUCCGCGCCGGGUACGGGCGGGCUUGAGUGCGGUAGGGGAGACUGGAAUUCCCGGUGUAACGGUGGAAUGUGUAGAUAUC